rnacentral:rRNA from 1 species
GACGAACGCUGGCGGCGUGCUUAACACAUGCAAGUCGAACGGAAAGGCCCUGCUUUUGUGGGGUGCUCGAGUGGCGAACGGGUGAGUAACACGUGAGUAACCUGCCCUUGACUUUGGGAUAACUUCAGGAAACUGGGGCUAAUACCGGAUAGGAGCUCCUGCUGCAUGGUGGGGGUUGGAAAGUUUCGGCGGUUGGGGAUGGACUCGCGGCUUAUCAGCUUGUUGGUGGGGUAGUGGCUUACCAAGGCUUUGACGGGUAGCCGGCCUGAGAGGGUGACCGGCCACAUUGGGACCGAGAUACGGCCCAGACUCCUACGGGAGGCAGCAGUGGGGAAUAUUGCACAAUGGGCGGAAGCCUGAUGCAGCAACGCCGCGUGCGGGAUGACGGCCUUCGGGUUGUAAACCGCUUUCGCCUGUGACGAAGCGUGAGUGACGGUAAUGGGUAAAGAAGCACCGGCUAACUACGUG